rnacentral:misc_RNA from 1 species
UGGCAUACCUCUUCAGUCUUGUGUCAAUGCUUGUAUUGCAUUGAAUGCACGGUGGGUUUCUUGUGUUGCAUGCCUAAUUAAUGGUAUCGUUUGAUGAAUUGGUAUUCCUUUCGUCUUGGGUCGCAUAUGCGAUGUGAGAUGAACCUUGAAGCAACCUUUGUGAUCCACUCUUUUGAUGCAUACGCAUUGAUUUUGUGGCCCAUUGAGUGUUGCUUGGUCUCAUGGAUAUGGAACCUGGUGUGGGCAUGGAAUCUUACUGGUUCCUUGUUUGUCCAAGUUUAGCUUUUCUAAAACGAUUGUCUAUCAUGUGUUAAUGUGGUAGACAGCUUCGAAUAUGAAUGCUACCUGGUUGAUCCUGCCAGUAGUCAUAUGCUUGUCUCAAAGAUUAAGCCAU